UACUCUCCAGUGCUGUGCGUGCCGAUACGAUACCGUCGCGUGUGCGGGUUUCGACAGGUUAUGUGUCAGAGUUCUUGGCGUGUGCAGUAUUACGUGUUGGCGGUGCGAACAAUGGAAAUCUACUGGCAGAUUCGAAUAUAAUCGGACGCUUAACAAACUCGAAGCUCGACGAGGACAUGAAAUCCUCCAGGUCGAUAUAGGAUUCCGCCGAGAUAAUGAUUUCACGUGGUCCAGCCUGAUCCCUUCGGUCAAGUCCGGAGAGCUCUGGAUUAUUUUCACCCGGACGGAAUCAUCGAGCCUCGAGAGGCUUAUCCUCGCCCAGGAGCAACCUCGUAGAAUUUAAUCAUGGCUGUGUUGCCAAACAUGGUCCUGGGACUUGAUACGGCACUGUCAAUCUUUAGGGGGACUCGGUUGACAGGGAAGGAGCGAUAGUGCGCGUUACGUCACGGCGACGGCUGCUUCGCGAUUCCUUGAGGAAUUCGCAAAGGAAUUCUUUUUUUUAAAUCAUGACGAAUUUUCGAGGGGGGAGAAUAACAAAGUGCACGUGUACAGCAUUUUGGAUUAUUGCCUCGUGCCUGGAUCGUGAUUAGUCGUCACAGUGGACGGAAGAUGGGUCUGAUAAUAAUUUUAUAAAUUUCAUCUAUACGAUACAAGUUUUUUGUGAACUUCGAUUCGUGCGAGACGUGCUAUUGGAUACGGAGGUAAAUAAAAGAAGAAAUUACAUUACGCACGCUUAAGAACUGCAUUCGGCUUUAUCAGCUCGUGAUCGUUUUGAGAAAAUUCAGUGACAUUUCCUUUAAAGAUACAAUUCGCAAUCGUAUUGAGAAUAUCACUGAGGAGGAUGGUGGGAUUUCCUGUAUGCGAAGCACGACAUUCAAGGAAAAUUACGAUGCUACGCUCAAAGGUGAAAAACGUAUCCGGGAAUGUCGAACGGCGUGAAUACAGCUCGCCGACGUGUUCUACGGAUCCUCAAGGCGCACUAGUGAAACGUCUGUCGCUUCGCGUCGUCGACGAUCAUUCGAAGGUUGCCAGUGUUGAAGGUUGCCACGUGUUGACGUAACGUCCUGGACGAGUGACGAGUGACGUGCGGUCAGGAACGUACGAAAUGACGGUAAUGCCGUCGAGUUCCGAUGUGGCGGACAAGGCAGUUUCCACGGAAGACGCGGCAAGCGGCGUCGAGGUGGUACGUCUCGAGGCCGUUCUGGCGGCUCUCGUGGAAACGAAGGUUGAGGCUAUGAAGGCUUCGACGACAGCUCGACGUUCGGGCAGUGCACCACCGAGUCCACGACGACUUCGGCUUACAUCUUCGUCGACGGCCUCUUCCUCCCAGAAUCAUCAUCAUCAUCAUCAUUCUCAUCAUCAUCAUUCUCACCAUCAUCAUCAGCAUCGUCAACAUGAACAGCUGCCCCACGACGAGCAUCGUCAACACGAGAAAAGAAAACGGGAGGAUCGUCGGCGACGCCACGAUUCUGCCCCCUGCGGUGAAUACAUCGAGGAUCCUACCGUGCAUAAUAAUCAUAAACAACGUUCGGGUAAAGGGCGACGGAGAGCUUCGGAGAAUCCGCGGAGUCCCAGGAAGCGGCGUAGACACUCCAAGAGUCCCCAAGUGGGCCACAGAGUCGUUCAGGAUUUUCAUGGAGGUCUCGAGACUGGCCUGGAUCUUUCGGGGAUUGACGGGGAUCAGGAACUAGCUCUGAUAAACUUUGAGAGAGCCAGAGAGGGUUUGAGCGAUUCCUGCGAAUAUCCGAAACUGCAUCGGAGCGCCUGCUGCUUUUCACAAAGUGCAGCCCAGCUAAAGAUCCAUUACGACGAGGACGACUACGUCGCGCUCAAUCUCGAUGACGAGUUCGAAGAGGAGGAGAGUCUUCCCGCUCCUGAGAAAAGGGGCAACACUGUCGAGCGCUAUCAUCGACCACGGAGAAAGCGGAAACGACGAAGAGUCGAGCCCGAGAGUGUCGAGGAGGAGCUUGGCGAUCCAGAGGAAUUGCCUCCUAGAGCGCGAUGGACUAUUGUUGCCACUGCUUGUCUACUUCUCGCCAUGUCACUUCUGCUCGUUGGCGUCACGCUGAGAAUGGCGCCGAUAAUCGACGACAUGGACAUUACAGCAUGCGCCUAUGAUGCAUCCUACAGUUAAAUAAAAAAAAGAGAUAAAGAUAAAACUAAAAUAAUUUAUAGUGUAAAAGAUGUCCGAAGGAUGAACAAUUAUUUGAAGCUCGCACAAUGGUGAAAAUAAGUUUAAAUUUUUGAGUGUCCAAAAAUUCCUGAGACUAAGUGCAUCAUGGAUCUUGAUCGCAAUCGUCAGUUAUUGGGUCAGCACGAGGAACGUAUAAUAUUCUACGUAGACGACACGUCUACCGAACAUCAGCUUCGCAAAGAGAACGAGGAGCUGUUGAAUUCGCUCAACCGGGAUUCUUCCGUGCCUGUAAACACGACGGUUCCGCCUUGACCAUUCGGAUCCUCGAAUGGAAGGUUCGGCGGCGUCGCAACUGAAACGACACGGCUGUCGCACGUUGGCCAACUGGCCGCCAGAGGUCAGCACGCAUCCAACGAUACGACGCGUCGGCGCUAUGCCCAACUGCAUAGGUGAAUUACUUCAGCACGGAAUAAGCUCAACAGUCGUGUUUAGUCUUUCGUAUAAAGGCAUACAGUGUCUAUAAGGAAGUAUAUGUAUAUACAAGUGAUGCGACGUGCGAGGAAAGCUGUCCACUCUGUACGGGCUUAUUCUCCUCCGAAAGCUCGAGCUUCGAGGACACGUGCAGCCUCGAAACUCGGGGCAAGCGAUGCGCAAAGGCAGGAUAUUGUCGACUUCCGAAUUUAGCACGUAAUUGUUGAACUUAAAGGUGACGUUCGUGAUAUCAUUGAAUACGGGCACGAUCGAUUAUUGAUUGUCUAGUCUUUAGUGGCUCGCUCGUGAUAGGGAGAAAAAAAUAUUUCAGCGUCAAGUUUUUGAUGACGCGUAUCGUGGCACGUGUAAAUUACGUGCGUACAAUAUUCGAGAUAUUAUUCGAUUAUCGAUUGGCUAAUUUAACUUUGCGGCAUGACUUGUACUGUGUAACACUUGUAAUACGUGUAUUGUGGAUUUGGCCAAAGGUAAAGCUUGGACAAAAUUUUGGGGCAAGUUUGCUUUGAGGCACGAUUGGAUAUUAGUGUAUGGUCGUGUCUUGUGCAUUGACAUUAGUCAGAAAUUUUAUGCACGCUAUUGCAGUACAUGAAUCAAUAUUGAAAUUAGUUAUUGAGCAAAAACUGUUUUAUUUCAAUUCUCAUAAUUACUUUUAUGCGUAUUAUUGAAACUGGGAGUUUCAGACAGCUGAAAAAAGUUGCUGUUCCGUUUAUAUCCGAAAGUUGAUAAUUUAUCAUCUAGGAAUUUGAGCUCAAUUGGUUAAGCCGUUCGUUUUGAAUUUCAAAAACAAGAAUUCGCGCGUAUAAAUUCAAAACAGUAAAGCCUAGUACUGUCGCCUUUGAAGGGGGAUUACUAGAUUCAGAUUUCCUUACGCUUACGUCUUACGCCGUUACGUUAUUUUCUGUGCGAAGGGUUUACGGCAUUCUGGGUAUGCGCAUCCGCUUUAUUGAAAUCGGACGUGAAAGCGCACCUACGAACAUUACUGUCCCGCAAUCCGGAACUCGAUAUAACCUAUAAAUCUCGGUCACAUCAGUUUACCCGUUUAUUUAGAAUUUCCUCCAAAAAUGUUGAGUGCACAUGCGCGCACAUUCCUUUUGUUUUUGUCAAUGGCGAAUAUACAGGACACUCGCGGUUAUUUAAUGCAGUCGUGCCUAAAAAGGUAAAUAAUUAAGUUUGGAAAAGAAGGAUGAAAUUCAAAUUCAUAAAUGCUCGAUACUGUCAAGUCGGAUUUCGAUAAGUCGUUAAAAUGCAUCGCCGCCUUCAUAUCGAGGCGAAUAAUAAACCCAACGAGUAUCCCGAGAGGUAUGCGCAUGCGCAGAAAAUAUAUGCCGGAGAUUUCCCUAAAUUCCGCAUACGGAUUGGCACAGUGAGACGAGCGAGCGUAUAAAAAGAAAAGGUGCAGAUAAACAUACUAGGAUAUAAAAUAAUGGUACGUACGGUUAUCAAGGUACGUACAACGUGAGUCAAAAUGUUGUUGUCAAUUGUUUAUAUAAUGUGUUUAUAGGCAUGAUUAUGAUGCUACCAUUAAUACAGGAAUAACGUGCCAACGCCGUCGCGUAUUAUUAGUAACGUUCGAGUCACGUAGUACCGACGAGAAAACGUAUUCUACGUAUGAUAAUGCAAGUACUGUCUAAGUGAAUCUAGGUGAUCGCAAAUAUAUGCACAGAAUAAGUCACAAGGCUAUCGGUCGUCCAAACGGUUUUCCAUUUGUGACGCGACUAUAAACUCUUCGCACCGUUUUUAUUCAGGUCUUUGACAACCUUCGUAUCGCACCAUUGUAAACUCAGGAAAUUAUCUUCAACCGUAAGCUCCCUUUAGCGUAUGGUUAAACGUGCAAACUGGCAUAUCGGUAAAUCAAUCGCCAUAGAUUCUAUGAAUCGGACACUCGGAGAGGAAAUAAUAAGUAUUAAAUUGAUGAGUGAUUUUUUUUUGUUCACCCGCAUUUCAUACACACGAAUCAUGGUAGAAUUUUUUAACGCGUCUCAUUUGGCAUAUAUACUACAUUUUCAUAGGAAUCUAUAUGGACUCUGUUGACAAGCUAGCAACCUGCUGAAAAUACCUGUUAGUUGUCAUAAGCUACAUGCAUUUAUCGUUCCUCUUAAAUGAACGAUUUUCUAUACUGAAAAUAUAUAUACGUUAUAUACGUACUAGUUACGCACUAUUGACUCAGCGCCAACUACAACCGUCCUACGUGAAAUCGUUUCCGCGGGCCGAACAAUAUGGGCUCCCAUCAUAGGAAAAGAUAGACGCCUUUGCGAACGCGACGAACGGGCGCGUUUCUAUUUCCUCACGAGAAACGAAGAGAGUAGGUAAAUGUAAAAAGUAUGGUUUUACGUUUCUUCGUCGCCACGUCGAAGCAGUCGGCUGUCGUCGUAUUUCUUUGUAUUGCGACGCGAAAGAUCACAAUACGAGGAGAGCGACGAAUAACGGAAGACUGCGUGAGAAUCGAAGGAAGAAAGAAAAAAGGAGUGCCGAAGUAUUAGUGGGGGAGGAAAGAUAAGAGAAAGAGAUUGGGGCAGAGCGUUUUAAACGCAUCAAGGAAAAUAACUCCGAUAGAGCAACGGACAAUAAAGAAGCAUUCGCGCCUAUGCACGUUACCCUCCUUUCGUCGCACAGUCGCCAUCUAGCUUUCUUCGCUGCAACUACGUGAGACAUGCGAACUACUAGAAAAAUAAAUUGAAUGGAAGAAAAUUAUGAAAUAAAAGUCUUUCGAUGACCAUCACGCAAUUAUUAAUUGCUAUUUGGUGAUUUAGAAAAAAAAAAAAAGAUAAUAAUUAAAGAUGCACCUGGAUUCCAAUGAUAUUUAAAAGUCACUCAGCGUUCGUUACUCAGUUAAGAGUAAUAAAGACGUUUAUUGAUGCCCUUCGUGCUGUACUCGUUACACUUCCGGUAUCUUGAUAAAGUUAUACAUUGCAUUAUAUACAUAUAUAUAUGGGAGGAUCCCAAGAAGAAACUAGAACUUUUGAAUCAAAUAAAAAACUAUGUACAUUUCGCGUCGUAUAAUCGUUUAAUUAAAUAAACGACUUUAAUGAAAUUUUUUUUUUCUCUACAUUCGACAUACUGAAUUCAAACUUUCGAGAUUGCAAUUAAAAUAAGGGUGGUUUCAUUUUUCUAAAUGAUCUUUCCGUUCAUUGUUAUAUUUAUAGCUUCGUUGUGUUGCCGUGCGCCCAGGGCCUAUAGAAAUGCGAAUGAGAAUCGCUCUAGCAUAAUCUCGUAUACUCAUUGUGGUAAAUCUGUGAAUGUAAACACGAGGGCUGUGUAAGAUGUCUUGUGUAAUUGAAAACAGAAAUUAAUCUCUGUAUUAUGCUGCGCGACAACGAAUACGAAUGGUCGUGUGAAUCGGUGUUGCGUUAUUUGUGCGCCUCAAUGCCUCCGUGCAUGAAUGUCCACUUUUUGAGUGAAUAAGAAAAUCUAUGUAAUAAAGAAAUUCUUAAAUUUUUAUUUAAACCCACAAAUAAUUCUUUCAUUUCGAGUUACAAUUGUGCACUACUUGCUUUUACGUCUUCUAUAAGAAUACGUCGGAAUUUCAGUGAAAAUCUUUAAAUUCCUAAUUAAUAAUGCGAUCGAUUAGCUGUACGAUGCGACUUUCGAUAUGAAUCGCACCAAAAUAAAGGCGCCUUCUCAUGUCCAGUCGAGCGAAUAAAACGUUAAAGGCGCGUGUACACGAGGUUACGUACAGCUCAUCGUUGACAAUCAUCCGUGAAAGCGUGUAAUAUGGAUACAACGAAUGCCAUUGCGUGCAGCGUGUGAUAUAAAGGCGUGUUUUCAAGAGCCUGAAAGAGGCGAAUUAUCGAGAGAACAAAAUAUGGAGAAACAAAAUGGGCACGAGAGCGUCCAAAAUUGUCAUCGGCUGUUUCCAUCGGAGUCGAACAACAGUUGAAAUACAUUGUGUAAAUGAACAGUACACGUAUCUCGUCUCUCUCAACGUGACUCCGAAUUGGGAGACGAAAUACGUGUGCUGUAUAUAAAUUAAAUGUUUUUAAACUCUAGUUCGACUUCGGUGGACACAGCCAUUGUUACCAUAACGAUCUUACGUUUUGCGCCCUAAAAAUUUGGACGUUAAUCCGUCUUCUACUACGAUUUCGCUUCCCUCGAGAUUUUCUAAUUUUCUUGCCAGAAAUUCUAGAGCUGUACGCGACGUUAGUAUCGGCGACUAGCGCGAUAUAUCGCGGUAUGUUAUGGGUCAUAAGGAUCGAGGUGAGAAUCCACGUAAAUUAUUAUCCGUGUACAUAAUAAUUUCGGCGAAAGAAGUCUUGUAUAUAGAGAGACGACGAGGGAAACUGAGGGAUAUAAAAGCGCGAUUAAAACAAUCACGAGUUCGGGGGAGAAUUUGAUUAUUGAAUACAUUGUAAUGGUGUUGUGAGGAUGUUAAUGAAUGAGAUAUUAAGAUUUAUGUUUGUAUAUUGUAAUAACGUUAUGUAUAACGGUUAUUGUAAUGCAAGAAAUAUACAUACUAGUUGUCCAA